rnacentral:rRNA from 1 species
ACGAACGCUGGCGGCGUGCUUAACACAUGCAAGUCGAACGGAAAGGCCCUGCUUUUGUGGGGUGCUCGAGUGGCGAACGGGUGAGUAACACGUGAGUAACCUGCCCUUGACUUUGGGAUAACUUCAGGAAACUGGGGCUAAUACCGGAUAGGAGCUCCUGCUGCAUGGUGGGGGUUGGAAAGUUUCGGCGGUUGGGGAUGGACUCGCGGCUUAUCAGCUUGUUGGUGGGGUAGUGGCUUACCAAGGCUUUGACGGGUAACCGGCCUGAGAGGGUGACCGGCCACAUUGGGACUGAGAUACGGCCCAGACUCCUACGGGAGGCAGCAGUGGGGAAUAUUGCACAAUGGGCGGAAGCCUGAUGCAGCAACGCCGCGUGCGGGAUGACGGCCUUCGGGUUGUAAACCGCUUUCGCCUGUGACGAAGCGUGAGUGACGGUAAUGGGUAAAGAAGCACCGGCUAACUACGUG